rnacentral:rRNA from 1 species
GACGAACGCUGGCGGCGUGCCUAAUACAUGCAAGUAGAACGCAGUUGCGAACGGGUGAGUAACGCGUAGGUAACUGCCUCAUAGCGGGGGAUAACGAUUGGGAACGAUAGCUAAUACCGCAUACUGUGAGCUGGACCUGCGUUGUAUUAGCUAGUUGGUGAGGUAAAGGCUCACCAAGGCGUCGAUACAUAGCCGGCCUGAGAGGGCGAGCGGCAACCCCGGGAAUGGGACACGGGCCAGACCCCUACGGGGGGGAACAGUAGGGGAUCUUCGGACAUGGAGGGAAGUCUGACCGAGCAACGCCGCGUUAGUGAAGAAGGUUUUCGGAUUGUAAAGCUCUGUUGUUAGAGAAGCGGUAACUACCCAGAAAGGAACGGCUAACUACGUGCCAGCAGCCGCGGUAAUAC